AAAAUACUUCCUUGUCCAAAACUGGUGGAGGGAGAAACAAUUUGUUGAGAUUUCACCUAAAUAUCUGGAACGUACCGAUGCGGAAAUCAACUUUGUUAAAACAGCUCAAAGGGAGAUUCCCAAGGGCUUGUCUUUGUCCUCCUACCACUUUG
rnacentral:ribozyme from 1 species